rnacentral:sRNA from 1 species
UUAAUCAUAAUGAAAAGGAGGCCUAAC